rnacentral:rRNA from 1 species
AGUGAACGCUGGCGGUAGGCCUAACACAUGCGAGUCGAACGGCAGCACAGUAAGAGCUUGCUCUUACGGGUGGCGAGUGGCGGACGGGUGAGGAAUACAUCGGAAUCUACUUUUUCGUGGGGGAUAACGUAGGGAAACUUACGCUAAUACCGCAUACGACCUACGGGUGAAAGCAGGGGAUCUUAGGACCUUGCGCGAUUGAAUGAGCCGAUGUCGGAUUAGCUAGUUGGCGGGGUAAAGGCCCACCAAGGCGACGAUCCGUAGCUGGUCUGAGGGGAUGAUCAGCCACACUGGAACUGAGACACGGUCCAGACUCCUACGGGAGGCAGCAGUGGGGAAUAUUGGACAAUGGGCGCAAGCCUGAUCCAGCCAUACCGCGUGGGUGAAGAAGGCCUUCGGGUUGUAAAGCCCUUUUGUUGGGAAAGAAAAGCAGCAGGUUAAUACCCCGCUGUUCUGACGGUACCCAAAGAAUAAGCACCGGCUAACUUCGUG